rnacentral:rRNA from 1 species
GAUGAACGCUGGCGGCGUGCCUAAUACAUGAAAGUCGAGCGAAGCGGGGACGGGGGAGAGACACGUGGAUAACCUACUAUAAGACUGGGAUAACUUCGGGAAAACGGAACUAAACCGGCUACUUAUAGAUGGAUCCGCGCUGCGUUAGCUAGUUGGUAAGGUAACGGCUUAACAAGGCAACGAUGCAUAGCCGAACUGAGAGGGUACUCGGCCACACUGGAACUGAGACACGGUCCAGACUCCUACGGUAGGCAGCAGUAGGGAAUCUUCCGCAAUGGUCGAAAGCCUGACGGAGCAACGCCGCGUGAUUGAUGAAGGUCUUCGGAUCGUAAAACUCUGUUAUUAGGGAAGCGGUACCUAAUCAGAAAGCCACGGCUAACUACGUGCCAGCAGCCGCGGUAAGUC